rnacentral:sRNA from 1 species
GGGAAAAUUGGUGGAUUUCAAGUAAUCAAGCAAUUAAAGGUGGUGAGUCCUCCGACAAGGGCAAGGAAAUUAUACUCGAGGAUCGAUAGUUUGAGUACUAUAGAAAUUCGACUCCUGAAAUAGCUCAGAAUAAACUGUAGAUAGCUGAUCGCAUCGAGGACUACCAUUGGAAUUGCAUUUUCCAAACUGUAGGUUCACGAUCCUCUUUACUUUUGAAUAUUCGGGGGUCCCACUUGUCACUAUAAAUUAAAUUUCAUACUCCAGUUAUCUGUACUACUGUAUAUAGGAAUUUAUUUUGCUUUUAUGUUGUGAAAA